rnacentral:rRNA from 1 species
UACGUAGGCAGCAAGCGUUGUUCGGAGUUACUGGGCGUAAAGGGCUCGUAGGCGGCCAACUAAGUCAGACGUGAAAUCCCUCGGCUUAACCGGGGAACUGCAUCUGAUACUGGAUGGCUUGAGUUCGGGAGAGGGAUGCGGAAUUCCAGGUGUAGCGGUGAAAUGCGUAGAUAUCUGGAGGAACACCGGUGGCGAAGGCGGCAUCCUGGACCGGCACUGACGCUGAGGAGCGAAAGCCAGGGGAGCAAACGGG